rnacentral:rRNA from 1 species
CAGUCGCCACGGUAAUACGGAGGAUCCAAGCGUUAUCCGGAAUCAUUGGGUUUAAAGGGUCCGUAGGCGGUCUUGUAAGUCAGUGGUGAAAGCCCAUCGCUCAACGGUGGAACUGCCAUUGAUACUGCAGGACUUGAAUUAUUGGGAAGUAACUAGAAUAUGUAGUGUAGCGGUGAAAUGCUUAGAGAUUACAUGGAAUACCAAUUGCGAAGGCAGGUUACUACCAAUUGAUUGACGCUGAUGGACGAAAGCGUGGGUAGCGAACAGGAUUAGAUACCCCCGUAGUCCCUGUCUCUUAUAA